rnacentral:rRNA from 1 species
AGAGUUUGAUCCUGGCUCAGAACGAACGCUGGCGGCAGGCUUAACACAUGCAAGUCGAACGGUUGUAGCAAUACAGCAGUGGCGCACGGGUGAGUAACGCGUGGGAACAUACCUUUCAGUUCGGAAUAACAGCGGGAAACUGCUGCUAAUACCGGAUAUUCUCUCCGGAGGAAAGAUUUAUCGCUGAAAGAUUGGCCCGCGUCAGAUUAGCUAGUUGGUGGGGUAAUGGCCUACCAAGGCUCCGAUCUGUAGCUGGUCUGAGAGGACGACCAGCCACACUGGAACUGAGACACGGUCCAGACUCCUACGGGAGGCAGCAGUGGGGAAUAUUGGACAAUGGGCGAAAGCCUGAUCCAGCCAUGCCGCGUGAAUGAUGAAGGCCUUAGGGUUGUAAAGUUCUUUUACCAGGGAAGAU